UCAAAACAAUUUCAAGCCACUUGUCAAUUUUGGAACUAUAAGAAGCAACAAGGCAAAAUCGGAAAUAUAGACAGAACUUUUUAAUAUUAGAGCAGCAAAGGAGAGGUAGUGCAUUGUCUGUGAAGGAAAUGAACUUAUUAAUCACAUUCUCUCUAUUGGACCAAUUGGUAUUUCGGUUGUCAAAAAUAAGGUUGUCUAUAGAAGUCCAGGGGUAUUGCCAACGUUUAGAGAGAACAGAUGUUCUGAAAGCAUCUUGUAUGGGCAAUAGAGAGAGAAUUUGUACAAUUAGAGCGUCAGGUAGCUCGCUGAUCCAAUCAAUGCCAGUUUCUUCACUUUCUG
rnacentral:misc_RNA from 1 species